rnacentral:rRNA from 1 species
UGGGGAAUAUUGCGCAAUGGGGGGAACCCUGACGCAGCCAUGCCGCGUGAAUGAAGAAGGCCUUCGGGUUGUAAAGUUCUUUCGGUGAUGAGGAAGGUGAUAAGGUUAAUACCCUUAUUAAUUGACGUUAGUCACAGAAGAAGCACCGGCUAACUCCGUGCCAGCAGCCGCGGUAAUACGGAGGGUGCGAGCGUUAAUCGGAAUAACUGGGCGUAAAGGGCACGCAGGCGGAUUUUUAAGUGAGGUGUGAAAGCCCCGGGCUUAACCUGGGAAUAGCAUUUCAGACUGGGAAUCUAGAGUACUUUAGGGAGGGGUAGAAUUCCACGUGUAGCGGUGAAAUGCGUAGAGAUGUGGAGGAAUACCGAAGGCGAAGGCAGCCCCUUGGGAAUGUACUGACGCUCAUGUGCGAAAGCGUGGGGAGCAAACAGG